rnacentral:rRNA from 1 species
UCAGGCCUAACACAUGCAAGUCGAACGAACCCUUCGGGGUUAGUGGCGCACGGGUGCGUAACGCGUGGGAAUCUGCCCUUGGCUUCGGAAUAACAGUUAGAAAUGACUGCUAAUACCGGAUGAUGUCUUCGGACCAAAGAUUUAUCGGCCAGGGAUGAGCCCGCGUAGGAUUAGGUAGUUGGUGGGGUAAAGGCCUACCAAGCCGACGAUCCUUAGGUGGUCUGAGAGGAUGAUCAGCCACACUGGGACUGAGACGCGGCCCAGACUCCUACGGGAGGCAGCAGUGGGGAAUAUUAAGGAAUGGGCGCAAGCCUGAUCCAGCAAUGCCGCG